UGAACGCUGGCGGCGUGCUUAAUACAUGCAAGUCGAACGGACGUCGCAAGACGUUAGUGGCGACCGGGUGCGUAACACGUAGCUGACCUGCCCCUCAGCGGGGGACAACAGUUCGAAAGGACUGCUAAUACCGCAUACAUUUAGGGUGAUUAGAAGACCUUAAAGAAACUUACGGGGCUGAGGGAGGGAGCUGCGGCCCAUCAGGUAGUUGGAGAGGUAGCAGCUCACCAAGCCGACGACGGGUAGGGGGCCUGAGAGGGUGGUCCCCCACACUGGAACUGACAAACGGUCCAGACUCCUACGGGAGGCAGCAGUAAGGGAUAUUGCGCAAUGGGCGAAAGCCUGACGCAGCAACGCCGCGUGGAGGAUGAAGGCCUUCGGGUCGUAAAGCUCUGUGGGGAGGGACGAGGAAGGACGGUACCUCACGAAGAAGUCACGGCUAACUACGUGCCAGCAGCCGCGGUAAAACGUAGGUGGCGAGCGUUAUCCGGAUUUACUGGGCGUAAAGCGUGUGCAGAUGGGGCGACAAGUAGUGUAUGAAAUCUCUGGGCUUAACCUAGAGAGGUUAUGCUAGACUGUCGUUCUAGAGAACGGGAGAGGGACGUGGAAUUCCGGGUGUAGUGGUGAAAUGCGUAGAGAUCCGGAGGAACCCCUGAGGCGAAGGCGGCGUCCUGGCCCGAUUCUGACAUUCAGACACGACAGCAUGGGGAGCGAACGGGAUUAGAAACCCCGGUAGUCCAUGCCGUAAACGAUGUCAACUAGGCGCUGGGGGACUCAACCCCCUCGGUGCCGCAGCUAACGCGAUAAGUUGACCGCCUGGGGAGUACGGUCGCAAGGCUAAAACUCAAAGGAAUUGACGG
rnacentral:rRNA from 1 species